rnacentral:rRNA from 1 species
GACGAACGCUGGCGGCGUGCUUAACACAUGCAAGUCGAACGGAAAGGCCCUGCUUUUGUGGGGUGCUCGAGUGGCGAACGGGUGAGUAACCCGUGUGUAACCUGCCCUUGACUUUGGGAUAACUUCAGGAAACUGGGGCUAAUACCGGAUAGGAGCUCCUGCUGCCUGGUGGGGGUUGGAAAGUUUCGGCGGUUGGGGAUGGACUCGCGGCUUAUCAGCUUGUUGGUGGGGUAGUGGCUUACCAAGGAUUUGACGGAUAGCCGGCCGGAGAGGGUGACCGGCCACAAGGGGAGGGAGGAACGGCCGAGAAGACAACGGGAGGAAGCAGGGGGGAAGAGUGCACAAUGGGGGGAAGCAGGAUGAAGGAACGCGGCGGGGGGGAUGAAGGCCGGCGGGGGGUAAAAAGCUGUAGCCGGUGACGAAGAGGGAGUGACGGUAAUGGGUAAAGAAGCACCGGCUAACUACGUG